GGGUGGGUGGCUCAGUGGUUAGAGCCUAGGGCUUGCGAGCGAAAGGUCCUGGGUUCGAAUCUAGGGAGACGUA
rnacentral:tRNA from 1 species